AUUGAACGCUGGCGGCAGGCUUAACACAUGCAAGUCGAGCGGAGAUGAGGUGCUUGCACCUUAUCUUAGCGGCGGACGGGUGAGUAAUGCUUAGGAAUCUGCCUAUUAGUGGGGGACAACAUUCCGAAAGGAAUGCUAAUACCGCAUACGUCCUACGGGAGAAAGCAGGGGAUCUUCGGACCUUGCGCUAAUAGACGAGCCUAAGUCGGAUUAGCUAGUUGGUGGGGUAAAGGCCUACCAAGGCGACGAUCUGUAGCGGGUCUGAGAGGAUGAUCCGCCACACUGGGACUGAGACACGGCCCAGACUCCUACGGGAGGCAGCAGUGGGGAAUAUUGGACAAUGGGCGGAAGCCUGAUCCAGCCAUGCCGCGUGUGUGAAGAAGGCCUUUUGGUUGUAAAGCACUUUAAGCGAGGAGGAGGCUACCUAGAUUAAUACUCUGGGAUAGUGGACGUUACUCGCAGAAUAAGCACCGGCUAACUCUGUGCCAGCCGCCGCGGUAAGAC
rnacentral:rRNA from 1 species